CGGAAUGUGGCCCAGUGGCUAGGGCACCUGGUUUGGGACCAGGGUAUCGUGAGUUCGAGUCUCACCAUUCCGA
rnacentral:tRNA from 1 species